UGGCAUACGACCGACCUUCAACGUUGAAAUAUGGUUGAAAUAAUGUCAGUUGUUGUUUCAACAUUGAAACAACGUUGAUAUAACGUUUAAUGCUAAACGGUUGAAAAAUGUUAAGAAAACACUUCUAAAUCAACGUUGAAAUUUGUACAAGAUCUGUACGUUAGAACAACGUAAUGUUUUCAACCACAUACAACAGAAAUCUGCCUUAUAAAGUUUAUGAUCAUUAUUAGCAUUUAAUGAUAUUCUGAUAAUACAGCCUUGGCUAUGUUAAAAUAUAAUUAUUAUCAUUAUAGACAACUCUCCAAUAAUUUCAACCUCAAGAGUGCAGCAGAAACUUUUUGCUUUGUGAUUUUGUGUGGAUUUACAAUACUGUGUGCUUACCUAACAGUUUACCAUGCUUUAUUAUUUUUUUUUUAAAUCAUACACUGUCAUGAAAACACCAUUUGACAAAUUAAUUAAAUAAAUACAGACUGCAAACUAAAUAUUCUAUACACAUUUCGCUACGUUACCACGCUGAAACUACUGUUAUUGGUUGUUUCACCGGUUUACUUUGACCCUGAUUGGUUAAUCUUUCUGUCUUCCAGGAAACUGGCCAAUGACAAAAUGCGCGCCUAUUUUAAGUUUGAAAAUACGUCCGUUAUUGUUUGAGUCGGUAUGAGGUGAGCAUCUGCUCUGCUGAUUAUUACCCCGUCGGACACGGAUUAUUUUAAAAAUUCUUGUUAAAUUCUUAUUUUGAGCGAAUUUGAGUUGUGAUAUGUCAAUGAAGGACAAAAGCUGGAAUGUGAACAGAGGAUGGGGUCGUAAUGUUACGUGGUCUGUAAAAAUACUGGCGAAAUCACUAAAGGUUAAGCAUUGGAAUAUGAUUUUUUCGGGGGGAGAACACCCAAAUAGAGACAAAUCCACCAACUACAUGAAAGGUCAUGUCACCUACCUUCAUCAGUCCUGUCUUUAAUUCACUGGAAAACAUUAAGGGAAAGACCCUCAGACAUGUCAUAACAGGAUAAAGGCUGCAGACUCACCAAGGAUCCAUAUGAUUACUGGCAAUUUGGUGGAGGAUUUUUCUUUAGCUGCUAUCACUUCUGGAUCGUACAGAGAGCAGACAAGAAGUGAAGAGGGAGCAAGAGGAAGCGAUGGCAUCGGAGCAGACCUCAAGCUGGGACUCUACUAGAGCAAUGCAAAAGGCUGUCGCAUUUUAUUGAGAUGCUAAGUUUUUCUACUGUUACUGUACACUUAAAAUAUUAAAUGUAUUUCAUCUAAGUUUUACUGUAAUUGAACAAAAACUGUCUUUUAAGUAUUCCAUUCAGAUUUGUACUUUACUUAUUACUUUGAAAACACUGCAAGUUAAAGUUUUCAGAUGUAGAAAGUAUUUUUAGACUUUUUUGUUUUGUUUUCCAAAAUAAAACUUGUUUUACAAUCUUGA